rnacentral:rRNA from 1 species
UACAGAGGGUGCGAGCGUUAAUCGGAAUUACUGGGCGUAAAGCGUGCGUAGACGGUAGCGUAAGUCAGAUGUGAAAGCCCCGGGCUCAACCUGGGAAUGGCAUUUGAGACUGCUCUGCUCGGGUGCGGAAGAGGGAAGCGGAAUUUCCGGUGUAGCGGUGAAAUGACGUAGAUAUCGGAAGGAACACCAGUGGCGAAAAGCGGCUUCCCUGGUCCGAC